UGGGGAAUAUUGCACAAUGGAGGGAACUCUGAUGCAGCGACGCCGCGUGAACGAAGAAGGCUUUCGAGUCGUAAAGUUCUUUCAUAUGGGAAGAUAAUGACGGUACCAUAAGAAAAAGCCCCGGCUAACUACGUGCCAGCAGCCGCGGUAAUACGUAGGGGGCUAGCGUUGUCCGGAAUCACUGGGCGUAAAGGGUUCGCAGGCGGAAAUGCAAGUCAGGUGUAAAAGGCAGUAGCUUAACUACUGUAAGCAUUUGAAACUGCAUAUCUUGAGAAGAGUAGAGGUAAGUGGAAUUUUUAGUGUAGCGGUGAAAUGCGUAGAUAUUAAAAAGAAUACCGGUGGCGAAGGCGACUUACUGGGCUCAUUCUGACGCUGAGGAACGAAAGCGUGGGUAGCAAACAGG
rnacentral:rRNA from 3 species